rnacentral:rRNA from 1 species
AGUGAACGCUGGCGGUAGGCCUAACACAUGCGAGUCGAACGGCAGCACAGUAAGAGCUUGCUCUUACGGGUGGCGCGUGGCGGACGGGUGAGGAAUACAUCGGAAUCUACUUUUUCGUGGGGGAUAACGUAGGGAAACUUACGCUAAUACCGCAUACGACCUACGGGUGAAAGCAGGGGAUCUUCGGACCUUGCGCGAUUGAAUGAGCCGAUGUCGGAUUAGCUAGUUGGCGGGGUAAAGGCCCACCAAGGCGACGAUCCGUAGCUGGUCUGAGAGGAUGAUCAGCCACACUGGAACUGAGACACGGUCCAGACUCCUACGGGAGGCAGCAGUGGGGAAUAUUGGACAAUGGGCGCAAGCCUGAUCCAGCCAUACCGCGUGGGUGAAGAAGGCCUUCGGGUUGUAAAGCCCUUUUGUUGGGAAAGAAAAGCAGCAGGUUAAUACCCCGCUGUUCUGACGGUACCCAAAGAAUAAGCACCGGCUAACUUCGUG